rnacentral:misc_RNA from 1 species
GGGAGACUGCGGAGGACAUUACCGUUGGAGUUCGCUCCAAUCUGGGAUAGAACCCUUGCCUUUGAGUACCUUUCCGUUUCCUCGGUGGGUUCGCCCGCCGGUGGACAACCAUAAACUCUUUGUAAUAGCAGUAUCUUCUGAGAAAAACAAAUAGUUAAAACUUUCAACAACGGAUCUCUUGGUUCUGGCAUCGAUGAAGAACGCAGCA